rnacentral:miRNA from 1 species
AGGGACAACUGCUUGAGGCCAA